CACUACAUACAUAUAUAAGGGGAGGUACAAACUCCAACUCGGUUUUACAGUGAAAACUGCAGGAACUUCAAUCCGGCACUAAGAAACACUCUGAGAAACCAAACUAAGUGCUUCUACUGCAACCCGUUCCCUUUGUGCUAGAUGGAUGAACGUCUUUCCACAUGCUCAGCUCAGAGAGAUA